UACGUAGGGUGCGAGCGUUGUCCGGAAUUACUGGGCGUAAAGAGCUCGUAGGUGGUUUGUCGCGUUGUCCGUGAAAACUCACAGCUUAACUGUGGGCGUGCGGGCGAUACGGGCAGACUGGAGUACUGCAGGGGAGACUGGAAUUCCUGGUGUAGCGGUGGAAUGCGCAGAUAUCAGGAGGAACACCGGUGGCGAAGGCGGGUCUCUGGGCAGUAACUGACGCUGAGGAGCGAAAGCCGUGGGGGAGCGAACAGG
rnacentral:rRNA from 1 species